AAAAAUCUGAUGACGGGAAAGAGUACUUUAUAGUGAAAUUUUCAGAGAGCCGAUGGGUGGUGUGAAUCGGUAAUGGAAGAUAAAGGAAAAUCAUCCCUGAAGAGAAGUGCUGAAUAUAUUAUUAAGCACUCACGAUUUUUCCACGUUAUAGGAAACGCGUAUGUUGGUACGUUGUAGAGAGCCCGUAAUAACAGUAAUGUAACGGGAAUCAGGGUGGUAACGCGGAAUAUACUCCGUCCCUCAG
rnacentral:ncRNA from 1 species